AACACGUGCCUAACCUACCCCCGCGACGGGGAUAACCCCGGGACAACUGGGGCUAAUACCCGAUAGGCGAUGGGUACUGGAAUGUCCCAUCGCCCAAAGGGGGCGGUCACCAUGCUGGCCGUCCCGCGCGGGGAUGGGGGCGCGGCCGAUCAGGUAGUUGGUAGGGUAACGGCCUACCAAGCCUGUAACCGGUAGGGGCCAUGGAAGUGGUGGCCCCGAGUCGGGCACUGAGACAGCGGCCUGGGCCUUACGGGGCGCAGCAGGGGGAGACUCUCGGGCAAUGCGCGAAAGCGCGACAGGGUCACCCGGAGUGCCCCGGAAAACCGGGGCUGUUCUCGGGUCCCGGACGCCCGAGGAGUAAGGGGAAGGCAAGACUGGUGCCAGCAGCUGCGGUAACACCAGCUCCCCGAGUGGCGUGGACGAUUAUUGGGCCUAAAGCGUCCGUAGCCGGCCCGGACCGUCUCCCGUCAAAUCCGACCGCUCAACGGCCGGACCGCGGGAGAUACCUCCGGGCUUGGGGGCGGGAGAGGGCGGGGGUACGACCGGGGUAGGGGCCAAAUCCACUGAGCCCGGUCGGACCAACGGUGGCGAAGGCGCCCGCCUGGAACGCGCCCGACGGUGAGGGACGAAAGCCGGGGGAGCGAACCGGAUUAGAUACCCGGGUAGUCCCGGCCGUAAAUGAUGCGGACUAGGCGUUGGCAUCCGCCUUCGGGUGGGUGCCAGUGCCCCAGCGAAGGCGUUAAGUCCGCCGCCUGGGGAGUACGGCCGCAAGGCUGAAACUUAAAGGGAUUGGCGGGGGGAUGCCACAAGGGGAGAAGCCUGCGGCUUAAUCGGACUCAACACCGGGAAUCUCUACCGGGGGCAACGGCAGGAUGAAGGCCCGGCUGAAGACCGUGCCAGACAAGCCGAACGGUGCUACAUCGCCGUCGCCAGCUCUGUGCCGUGAGGUGUCCGGCUAAGCCCGGCAACGAGCGAGACCGGCGCCGCCUGUUGGGCCCGCCACCGAAGACGGGCCGAGCUGGCGGGACCGCCGCCGACCAAGGCGGAGGAAGGUGCCGGCCACGGCAGGUCGGCAUGGCCCUACGACCCCCGGGCCGCACGCGGGCUGCAAUGGGCGGGACAGAGGGGCGCAACCCCGAAAGGGGAAGGAAUCCCUAAACCCGCCCUCAGUUGGGAUUGAGGGCUGCAACUCGCCCUCAUGAACCUGGAUUCCCUAGUAGUCGCGUGUUAGCAACGCGCGACGAAUACGUCCCCAUCCCUUGCACACACUGCCUGUCGCGCCAUCCGAGC
rnacentral:rRNA from 1 species